GUUCAUAGAGGGGGUUAAUUAAAGCAUCGUCCCACCAGGAGCAGUGACAGCGUUUCCACAAUGCCCACCUGACUUGAAGGGGAAAGAUAGAAUUUGGAGGCUUUGGACACUGACAAAGAACCAGACUACAUUCGACGCCAGAAAAAGGAUAUAACAAUUGCAGGAUGAAAGCCAACAAACAAGUUACCACCGUGAAGCAGAACGGGAACAUGAACAGAAGGCCGAGCUAUCCGGGCGACCAGCGGGUGAAGCAUGCCAAUUUAACCACAAAGAUUUGGGUUAAAGUGGCGAUGGCGAUUGCUUAUUUUCUAUGCGUGUCAAUAGCUGCCUUUAUUCUGGCAAUCUACUAUGUGUUCUUUUGGAGUCCAGAUCCUGUCAAUAGCCCGGCAUCUGACAAUGUCACCAUCCCGUCAGUAACCAACACAACGUGCCAGCCGAGGUUAUGACUGCGUGAGAUCGGUAGGCUAUCCUCCGCGGUGAUAGCCCGCGCAAUGGUUGAGACUUUUUGGAUCCGCUGUAGGACAGACACCUGGAGAGAACACCGGCACACGCAGCAAUGGUGUACCGCGACAGAGGGGAUAGCAUGACAUUAUUUGAAGAAGGAUAUUGGGAUUUUUGCAGCAGUCCGCUGAACUAUUCAGGUUAGCCUAUUGAGGAAUCAAAUUAUAGUGACAACCGAAACACUUGUGAUUGCCUGUAGCUUUUCGGAUGCAGAGGGAGGGACAUUUAAUCAGUUAACCCAUCCACCCAGAUUCUCUCUGUUACGAUAGACAUGUAAAGACAGUUUAGCACGUAACUCCAGACAAAUAGUUCAUCUACAGUGAAACUAUUGUCACCUGAAACAAACCCCUAUAGAUUAUUUGUUUUCUAUUAUGUGGCACUGUACCCCCCCCAAUUGUACUAUUUAAAUAGGUGGUAUUACAACGUGACAGUUUUUACUUUUUUUUUCGUUAUAUACAUUUAGUUUAAGUACAUAAUAAACAUUCACAAUGUAUGUUUGAAUUUCAUGAUUCUCUGUGUGUAAUAUGAUAUUCUCAAACGACAGUCAUUUAGAAUCGGGCAGAUCCCUAGUGAAACUGACUAUCCUACCGAUCCUCGACUUCGACGAUGUCAUCUACAAAAUAGCUUCCAAUACUCUACUCACAUCUACAAGUCCAUGCUAGGUAAAGCUCUGCCUUAUCUCAGUUCACUGGUCACGAUGGCAACACCCACCCGUAGCACGCGCUCCAGCAGGUGUAUCUCACUGAUCAACCCUAAUGCCAACACCUCAUUUGGCCGCCUUUCCUUCCAGUUCUCUGCUGCCUGUGACUGGAACGAAUUGCAAAAAUCGCUGAAGUUGGAGACUUCUCUCCCUCACCAACUUCAAACAUCUAUCUGAGCAGCUAACCGAUCGCUGCAGCUGUACAUAGUCCAUCGGUAAAUAGCCCACCCAAAUUACCUACCUCAUCCCCAUACUGUUUAUAUUUAUUUACUUUUCUGCUCUUUUGCACACCAGUAUCUCUACCUGCACAUGACCAUCUGAUCAUUUAUCACUCGUGUUAAUCUGCUAAAUUGUAAUUAUUUGCCUACCUCCUCAUGCCUUUUGCACACAAUGUAUAUAGACCCUUUUUUUUCCCUACGGUGUUAUUGACUUGUUAAUUGUUUACUCCAUGUGUAACUCUGUCUGUUCACACUGCUAUGCUUUAUCUUGGCCAGGUCGCAGUUGUAAAUGAGAACUUG
ensembl:lncRNA